GACGAACGCUGGCGGCGUGCCUAACACAUGCAAGUCGAACGAGGUCCAUCCUUCGGGAGAAGACCUAGUGGCGAACGGGUGAGUAACACGUGAAGAACUUGCCCUGAAGACCGGGAUAACCCUCCGAAAGGAGAGCUAAUACCGGAUACCCCCACGAACCGCAUGGUUUGGUGAGGAAAUGGAUUCCGCUUCGGGAGGGCUUCGCGGCCUAUCAGCUAGUUGGUGGGGUAACGGCCACCAAGGCAUCGACGGGUAGCUGGUCUGAGAGGACGAUCAGCCACACUGGGACUGAGACACGGCCCAGACUCCUACGGGAGGCAGCAGUGGGGAAUCUUGCGCAAUGGGCGAAAGCCUGACGCAGCAACGCCGCGUGGGGAUGAAGGCUCUCGGGUUGUAAACCCCUUUCAGCAGGGACGAAUCAAGACGGUACCUGCAGAAGAAGCCCCGGCUAACUACGUGCCAGCAGCCGCGGU
rnacentral:rRNA from 1 species